rnacentral:lncRNA from 1 species
AUCAAUUGAGAGUUCUGCUUCAUGGGCAUCAUGGCAACAACACGAGAUGGAUCACAACUUUUUUAUAUGGCAUAUGCUUGUAUGUCUUAUGAUACUGUAAGCCACCUGAGAGCAUCCUGUUCUAAACUCGGUAGUUUACUUUAUUAACACUUACAUACAGUAUAUGACUCCUGGAGCACCCCUACAUUGGUAUUAAACCCCCC